rnacentral:rRNA from 1 species
UACGGGAGGCAGCAGUGGGGAAUAUUGCACAAUGGGCGCAAGCCUGAUGCAGCCAUGCCGCGUGUAUGAAGAAGGCCUUCGGGUUGUAAAGUACUUUCAGCGGGGAGGAAGGCAAUACGGUUAAUAACCGUGUUGAUUGACGUUACCCGCAGAAGAAGCACCGGCUAACUCCGUGCCAGCAGCCGCGGUAAUACGGAGGGUGCAAGCGUUAAUCGGAAUUACUGGGCGUAAAGCGCACGCAGGCGGUCUGUCAAGUCGGAUGUGGAAUCCCCGGGCUCAACCUGGGAACUGCAUUCGAAACUGGCAGGCUUGAGUCUUGUAGAGGGGGGUAGAAUUCCAGGUGUAGCGGUGAAAUGCGUAGAGAUCUGGAGGAAUACCGGUGGCGAAGGCGGCCCCCUGGACAAAGACUGACGCUCAGGUGCGAAAGCGUGGGGAGCAAACAGGAUUAGAUACCCCUGUAGUCCCAUGAU